UAGGGAAUCUUCCACAAUGGACGCAAGUCUGAUGGAGCAACGCCGCGUGAGUGAAGAAGGUUUUCGGAUCGUAAAGCUCUGUUGUUGGUGAAGAAGGAUAGAGGCAGUAACUGGUCUUUAUUUGACGGUAAUCAACCAGAAAGUCACGGCUAACUACGUGCCAGCAGCCGCGGUAAUACGUAGGUGGCAAGCGUUGUCCGGAUUUAUUGGGCGUAAAGCGAGCGCAGGCGGAAUGAUAAGUCUGAUGUGAAAGCCAACGGCUCAACCGUGGAACUGCAUCAGAAACUGUCAUUCUUGAGUGCAGAAGAGGAGAGUGGAAUUCCAUGUGUAGCGGUGGAAUGCGUAGAUAUAUGGAAGAACACCAGUGGCGAAGGCGGCUCUCUGGUCUGCAACUGACGCUGAGGCUCGAAAGCAUGGGUAGCGAACAGG
rnacentral:rRNA from 1 species